rnacentral:rRNA from 1 species
UAGCCUCCCGCUGUGUGGGCUGGAUCACCUCCUGGAACGAGUGGCGGACGGGUGAGUAACACGUGGGUAACCUGACCUUAAGUGGGGGAUAACAUUUGGAAACAGAUGCUAAUACCGCAUAGAUCCAAGAACCGCAUGGUUCUUGGCUGAAAGAUGGCGUAAGCUAUCGCUUUUGGAUGGACCCGCGGCGUAUUAGCUAGUUGGUGAGGUAAUGGCUCACCAAGGCGAUGAUACGUAGCCGAACUGAGAGGUUGAUCGGCCACAUUGGGACUGAGACACGGCCCAAACUCCUACGGGAGGCAGCAGUAGGGAAUCUUCCACAAUGGACGCAAGUCUGAUGGAGCAACGCCGCGUGAGUGAAGAAGGCUUUCGGGUCGUAAAACUCUGUUGUUGGAGAAGAAUGGUCGGCAGAGUAACUGUUGUCGGCGUGACGGUAUCCAACCAGAAAGCCACGGCUAACUACGUGCCAGCAGCCGCGGUAAUACGUAGGUGGCAAGCGUUAUCCGGAUUUAUUGGGCGUAAAGCGAGCGCAGGCGGUUUUUUAAGUCUGAUGUGAAAGCCCUCGGCUUAACCGAGGAAGCGCAUCGGAAACUGGGAAACUUGAGUGCAGAAGAGGACAGUGGAACUCCAUGUGUAGCGGUGAAAUGCGUAGAUAUAUGGAAGAACACCAGUGGCGAAGGCGGCUGUCUGGUCUGUAACUGACGCUGAGGCUCGAAAGCAUGGGUAGCGAACAGGAUUAGAUACCCUGGUAGUCCAUGCCGUAAACGAUGAAUGCUAGGUGUUGGAGGGUUUCCGCCCUUCAGUGCCGCAGCUAACGCAUUAAGCAUUCCGCCUGGGGAGUACGACCGCAAGGUUGAAACUCAAAGGAAUUGACGGGGGCCCGCACAAGCGGUGGAGCAUGUGGUUUAAUUCGAAGCAACGCGAAGAACCUUACCAGGUCUUGACAUCUUUUGAUCACCUGAGAGAUCAGGUUUCCCCUUCGGGGGCAAAAUGACAGGUGGUGCAUGGUUGUCGUCAGCUCGUGUCGUGAGAUGUUGGGUUAAGUCCCGCAACGAGCGCAACCCUUAUGACUAGUUGCCAGCAUUUAGUUGGGCACUCUAGUAAGACUGCCGGUGACAAACCGGAGGAAGGUGGGGAUGACGUCAAAUCAUCAUGCCCCUUAUGACCUGGGCUACC